rnacentral:rRNA from 1 species
CAAGUCAGAUGUGAAAGCCUUCUGUUCAACGGAAGAAUUGCAUCUGAAACUGCUAAUCUUGAGUAUAGGAGGGGAGAAUGGAACUUCUGGUGGAGCGGUGAAAUGCGUAGAUAUCAGAAGGAACGCCGGCGGCGAAAGCGAUUCUCUGGCCUAUUACUGACACUCAGUGUACGAAAGCUAGGGGAGCAAACGGGAUUAGAUACCCCGGUAGUCCUAGCCGUAAACGAUGGGCACUAAGUAGAGGGAAUUACCUAUAUUCUCUCUGCCGUAGCUAACGCAUUAAGUGCCCCGCCUGGGGAGUACGGCCGCAAGGCUAAAACUCAAAAGAAUUGACGGGGGCUCGCACAAGCGGUGGAGCAUGUGGCUUAAUUCGAUGCAACGCGAAAAACCUUACCGGGGCUUGACAUGAUAGAAGUAGGAGCCUGAAAGGGGGACGAACGGUAUCCAGUCCGUAGCUAUCACAGGUGUUGCAUGGCUGUCGUCAGCUCGUGUCGUGAGACGUUGGGUUAAGUCCCCUAACGGGCGAAACCCUUGUUUUUAGUUACCAGCGGGUUAUGCCGGGUACUCUAGAAAGACUGCCGUCGUCAAGACGGAGGAAGGUGGGGAUGACGUCAAGUCAUCAUGGCCCUUAUGCCCCGGGCUGCACACGUGCUACAAUGGUCGGUACAGACGGAAGCGAAG